AGUAAUUUAACUCAUAGCUAUCAAUUUAAAACUUAAUUAGUAGUCUCGAAACUAUGGCCCCUACUUCUAAAAUUGUUUUUCUUGGCUUCCUUCUCGUUACCAUGGCCGUGUUAUCUAGUUUGCCUUCAACAGAAGGUUUAGGGCCAUCACCAUAUGUUUGCGUGGGACCAUGUUCAAAUCCAUCUAGCUGCAAUACUCAAUGCCUUCAGAAAGGUCAUAGCAAAGGUGGUUCUUGUGUUGGCUCCGGCACCUCUGGAUUAAGUUGUUGUUGCACACUGUGAUGCCAUACUUCAAUUUCGGAAAAAUUCCGUUUUUAUUUAGAUGCAACGAAUGUAAUAAAUCUAGCAAGUUAUUGCUCCAAAUUUUCCUUAAUAUUUGAGUAUUGAUACACUCAUACACCAAUGAUAGUACAAUUCUGCAAAAGGUCUUGCAUGCACAAGUUAUACAAUAAAAUUAUAUAUUGUACAACAUAA